CUCCCUUUUCCUCCUUCCUGACAAAACAUAGCACGGUAUUCUAGAACCCACUCAAUCAUUCCUUCAUCCGCGCAGCAAUCAAUCCCGUACAGAACACCCAAGCAUUCCACCCAAGGUGAGAGACACAGGUGGAUGGGCAUGCCCUCCUCCAAGUCUCCCAGGAGGCCACCAUGGGCCCAGCUGUUUGUGCUUCUCACCAUGCUGAUUACAGGGCCCCCAGGCAUGGGCCCCAUGUGGCUGAUGCUGGCAUACUGAGUCACAGUGAUCUCACUGUAGGGCUUGUGCUUCAGGAGAGGCACAGUGAGGGGCAAUGAAAACAGACAAAAAAGACCAGGAGGCUGAGUUAAGGCACUUUGGGCACCGCUGAUCCUCUCAUCCCUGGUCCCCUAUCCCCUGUUCCCUCCCUUGUAAAGUCCUGAGAGGCCCCAAAAUGGCCCAAAGAGAAUCCCCACACUGGAAAACCUGCCUCCAAAAUGGAGGGGACACAGGAGGCAUCGAAAUAGCAGAGAAUUUGUCUGGGUUUGAACCGCCAGUGUGGCAGGACAAAGCCUCAACCUCUGGCUGCUGUAAGAGGCUCAUUCCCAGGAAGAAAAAUGACCUCCAGCUGCAGUAGGUGCAUGCGACACCUCCCUGGCUGGACUGUGAGCUCCUUGAAGCUUUGUUACCUGUGGUGGGGAAGAGUAAGAGAGAAUUCCGUCCAAUGUCAUGAUCUCAACGAGGAAGCAGUACAGAGGUCUGUACAGCCAGCCCACUUGCUUCUCUCUUGGGCACCCCCCUAUUUAUGAUCCACCAACCUAAGCUUCACUGCUGGGAAAAAAACACCCUGACUUGCAGCAAAUUUUCUGAGAAUGACGUGUCACCCUUCCAGAAGGACCUCCAAGUCUGCCUUCUGUGUGAGGAAACUGAGGCCCAGAAAGGGAUAGUGGCUGUCCCAUGAUCACACUGCCGAUCAAGCCCUGGAAAUCUUUCAAUCCAGCAUUUCAGCAAGAAACAAACCACAGGGCAACGGUGUAAGAGGAUGCUGACCGCCAGGCUUUGACUGAGAACUAAUGGGGGACAGGACCUCUCACUCUGGCCUGGACCUCUUCCAGCCUCGGUUUGCUUUGAGUGUUGGUGGCCUCUGCAAAGAUUUUCAACCCCACCAUUCACAUCUCUGAAUCUCCCACAGCAUCAAGCAGAGCAGCAGGACGAAGUACACACUCGUAAAUAAUUGAAAAGAAUCCCUAUAAAG